UUCCGCCAGACUUCAUAGAAUCAUUUCUAAUAGUAUGCAUCUCUCUCUGAGUUACUCUAAGUAGCCACAGAAUCUCCAACCUGGUUGAUGACUGAGAGCCUCGAUGUCCCGGAGUGAGGCCUUAUUUACGAUUGCUUCGGCAAGCGUGGCGAUGAUCUUCAGCUGACUGGCUGUGUACUUCGGUCACACCGGAAAGCAGGACGUUGAUGGCAAUCUGACAGGC
rfam:Cochliobolus sativus ND90Pr unplaced genomic scaffold COCSAscaffold_12, whole genome shotgun sequence.